rnacentral:rRNA from 1 species
UACGUAGGGUGCGAGCGUUGUCCGGAAUUAUUGGGCGUAAAGGGCUCGUAGGCGGUUUGUCGCGUCGGGAGUGAAAACUCAGGGCUUAACCCUGAGCCUGCUUCCGAUACGGGCAGACUAGAGGUAUGCAGGGGAGAACGGAAUUCCUGGUGUAGCGGUGAAAUGCGCAGAUAUCAGGAGGAACACCAAUGGCGAAGGCAGGUCUCUGGGCAUUAACUGACGCUGAGGAGCGAAAGCAUGGGGAGCGAACAGG